rnacentral:rRNA from 1 species
GAACCUGCGGAAGGAUCAUUACCGAGUGCGGGCCCUCUGGGUCCAACCUCCCAUCCGUGUCUAUCUGUACCCUGUUGCUUCGGCGUGGCCACGGCCCGCCGGAGACUAACAUUUGAACGCUGUCUGAAGUUUGCAGUCUGAGUUUUUAGUUAAACAAUCGUUAAAACUUUCAACAACGGAUCUCUUGGUUCCGGCAUCGAUGAAGAACGCAGCGAAAUGCGAUAAUUAAUGUGAAUUGCAGAAUUCAGUGAAUCAUCGAGUCUUUGAACGCACAUUGCGCCCCCUGGUAUUCCGGGGGGCAUGCCUGUCCGAGCGUCAUUGCUGCCCUCAAGCACGGCUUGUGUGUUGGGCUUCCGUCCCUGGCAACGGGGACGGGCCCAAAAGGCAGUGGCGGCACCAUGUCUGGUCCUCGAGCGUAUGGGGCUUUGUCACCCGCUCCCGUAGGUCCAGCUGGCAGCUAGCCUCGCAACCAAUCUUUUUAACCAGGUUGACCUCGGAUCCAGGUAGGGAUACCCGCUGAACUUAAGCAUAUCAA